GAGGAAUAUUGCACAAUGGGCGAAAGCCUGAUGCAGCAACGCCGCGUGCGGGACGAAGGCCUUCGGGUCGUAAACCGCUUUUCUGGGGAAAGAGCAAGGACGGUACCUCAGGAAUAAGUCUCGGCUAACUACGUGCCAGCAGCCGCGGUAAAACGUAGGAGGCGAGCGUUAUCCGGAUUUACUGGGCGUAAAGCGCACGCAGGCGGCUCUGUGAGUCGGACGUGAAAGCUCUCGGCUUAACCGGGAGAGGCCGUUCGAUACUGCGGGGCUUGAGGUAGGGAGAGGAAUGCGGAAUUCCCGGUGUAGUGGUGGAAUGCGUAGAUAUCGGGAGGAACACCUGUGGCGAAAGCGGCAUUCUGGCCCUCACCUGACGCUGAGGUGCGAAAGCGUGGGUAGCAAACAG
rnacentral:rRNA from 1 species